rfam:Cavia porcellus supercont2_34 genomic scaffold, whole genome shotgun sequence.
GGAGGUUUAGCUCAGCGGCAUAAGCGCCUGCCUUGUAAGCAGGCAGUCGUGAGUUCGAUCCCCGUUACUGAUA